GCUUGUCUCAAAGAUUAAGCCAUGCAUGUCUUAGUGUAAAUAACUCUUAUGAAACUGCGAAUGGCUCAUUAAAUCAGUUAUCAAAUACGUGAUGGUCGCCUACUACAUGGAUAACCGUAGUAAUUCUAGAGCUAAUACAUGCAUCAAUACCCAACUGUUCGCGGAAGGGUAGUAUUUAUUAGGUAUAGACCAACCCUCUUCGGAGGUGCUUUGGUGAUUCAUAAUAACUUUUCGAAUCGCAUGGCUCCAUGCCGGCGAUGGAUCAUUCAAGUUUCUGCCCUAUCAAUUUGAUGGUAGGAUAGAGGCCUACCAUGGUGGUAACGGGUGACGGAGAAUUAGGGUUCGAUUCCGGAGAGGGAGCCUGAGAAACGGCUACCACAUCCAAGGAAGGCAGCAGG
rnacentral:rRNA from 1 species